rnacentral:rRNA from 1 species
UUUUUUUUAACCCCCGGGAAAACUAGCAUAUCAAUAAGCGGAGGAAAAGAAAMCAACAGGGAUUGCCUCAGUAACGGCGAGUGAAGCGGCAACAGCUCAAAUUUGAAAUCUGGCCCUAGGCCCGAGUUGUAAUUUGCAGAGGAUGCUUUUGGUGCGGUGCCUUCCAAGUUCCCUAGAACGGGACGCCAGAGAGGGUGAGAGCCCCGUACAGUUGGACACCAAGCCUUUGUAAAGCUCCUUCGACGAGUCGAGUAGUUUGGGAAUGCUGCUCAAAAUGGGAGGUAUAUUUCUUCUAAAGCUAAAUACCGGCCAGAGACCGAUAGCGCACAAGUAGAGUGAUCGAAAGAUGAAAAGCACUUUGAAAAGAGGGUUAAACAGCACGUGAAAUUGUUAAAAGGGAAGCGCUUGUGACCAGACUUGCGUCCGGUGAAUCACCCAGCUCUCGCGGCUGGGGCACUUCGCCGGCUCAGGCCAGCAUCAGCUCGCUGUCGGGGACAAAAGCUUCAGGAACGUAGCUCUCUUCGGGGAGUGUUAUAGCCUGUUGCAUAAUACCCUUCGGCGGGCUGAGGUACGCGCUCCGCAAGGAUGCUGGCAUAAUGGUCAUCAGCGACCCGUCUUGAAACACGGACCAAGGAGUCAACCUUAUGUGCGAGUGUUCGGGUGUCAAACCCCUACGCGUAAUGAAAGUGAACGCAGGUGAGAGCUUCGGCGCAUCAUCGACCGAUCCUGAUGUUCUCGGAUGGAUUUGAGUAAGAGCAUAUAGGGUUGGACCCGAAAGAAGGUGAACUAUGCGUGUAUAGGGUGAAGCCAGAGGAAACUCUGGUGGAGGCUCGCAGCGGUUCUGACGUGCAAAUCGAUCGUCAAAUAUGCGCAUGGGGGCGAAAGACUAAUCGAACCUUCUAGUAGCUGGUUUCCGCCGAGUUCCCCCCUCCGGAAAAAAAAAAACU